rnacentral:rRNA from 1 species
AUUGAACGCUGGCGGCAGGCCUAACACAUGCAAGUCGAGCGGAUGACGGGAGCUUGCUCCUUGAUUCAGCGGCGGACGGGUGAGUAAUGCCUAGGAAUCUGCCUGGUAGUGGGGGACAACGUUUCGAAAGGAACGCUAAUACCGCAUGCGUCCUACGGGAGAAAGCAGGGGACCUUCGGGCCUUGCGCUAUCAGAUGAGCCUAGGUCGGAUUAGCUUGUUGGUGAGGUAAUGGCUCACCAAGGCGCCGAUCCGUAACUGGUCUGAGGGGAUGAUCAGUCACAGUGGAACUGAGACACGGUCCAGACUCCUACGGGAGGCAGCAGUGGGGAAUAUUGGACAAUGGGCGAAAGCCUGAUCCAGCCAUGCCGCGUGUGUGAAGAAGGUCUUCGGAUUGUAAAGCACUUUAAGUUGGGAGGAAGGGUUGUAGAUUAAUACUCUGCAAUUUUGACGUUACCGACAGAAUAAGCACCGGCUAACUCUGUGCCAGCCGCCGCGGUAAUAC